rnacentral:miRNA from 1 species
UGGGCCUGUAGUUAUGCAAGUUU